rnacentral:rRNA from 1 species
CCUACGGGGGGCAGCAGUGAGGAAUAUUGGUCAAUGGACGAGAGUCUGAACCAGCCAAGUAGCGUGAAGGAUGACUGCCCUAUGGGUUGUAAACUUCUUUUAUAUGGGAAUAAAAUGUUCCACGUGUGGGAUUUUGUAUGUACCAUAUGAAUAAGGAUCGGCUAACUCCGUGCCAGCAGCCGCGGUAAUACGGAGGAUCCGAGCGUUAUCCGGAUUUAUUGGGUUUAAAGGGAGCGUAGGUGGAUUGUUAAGUCAGUUGUGAAAGUUUGCGGCUCAACCGUAAAAUUGCAGUUGAAACUGGCAGUCUUGAGUACAGUAGAGGUAGGCGGAAUGCGUGGUGUAGCGGUGAAAUGCUUAGAGAUCACGAAGAACUCCGAUUGCGAAGGCAGUUCACUGGACUGCAACUGACACUGAGGCUCGAAAGUGUGGGUAUCAAACAGGAUUAGAUACCCGUGUAGUC